CCAAGACGACGAUGCGUAGGGGUUCUGAGAGGAAGGUCCCCCACACUGGUACUGAGACACGGACCAGACUCCUACGGGAGGCAGCAGUGAGGAAUAUUGGUCAAUGGGCGGGAGCCUGAACCAGCCAAGUCGCGUGAGGGAUGACGGCCCUAUGGGUUGUAAACCUCUUUUGCCGGGGAGCAAAGUGCCGCACGUGUGCGGUUUGGAGAGUACCCGGAGAAAAAGCAUCGGCUAACUCCGUGCCAGCAGCCGCGGUAAUACGGAGGAUGCGAGCGUUAUCCGGAUUUAUUGGGUUUAAAGGGUGCGUAGGCGGACGCUUAAGUCAGCGGUAAAAUUGCGGGGCUCAACCUCGUCGAGCCGUUGAAACUGGGUGCCUUGAGUGGGCGAGAAGUACGCGGAAUGCGUGGUGUAGCGGUGAAAUGCAUAGAUAUCACGCAGAACUCCGAUUGCGAAGGCAGCGUACCGGCGCCCAACUGACGCUGAAGCACGAAGGCGUGGGUAUCGAACAGGAUUAGAUACCCUGGUAGUCCACGCAGUAAACGAUGAAUGCUAGUUGUCCGGGGCGAUUGAGUUCUGG
rnacentral:rRNA from 1 species